GAAGCUGGCCUUGAACUUGCAAUUCUCCAGUCUCAUACUCCUCCCUAAAGGCUACCAGGAUUACAGGUGUGCACCACCAUCCCUGGCUUUCUCUGUUUUGAAACCAGGACAAACCUGUUUGUUGGAGGGAUAAGAUAGUGGCUUAAGAAGAUUUCCUCUCUACCGUUUUCUUCAGUUAUUGAUGUGUUCCAAUCCCUGCAUUUUCAUCUUGUGCAAAAUAUACUGCCAAUAUUAGUCUCUCCCAAUGUGGUUAUCACAUUUAUCCCCAUACCUCUACUCGACUCAAGAUCUGCAGAGGCACUCAGCAAGUUUAUUGACUAUCCUGAAAAGAGCUUCAGGUCUUUUUAAAAUCCCAAGUCUUGCGAAAAAGAAGAAGAAGAAGAAGAAAAAAAAAAGAGUUCCGUCUUGUCCAUACAUCCCACAGGAAACAAAGCCUCAAGAACCGUGUAAGCGGAUAUUGAAACUGCUGCCUGAAGAAAGAAAUCAUGGGUUGGAGAGCGGUUCUUUCAAGGAGCCAGAUGCCAAACCGAUGGACCUGGUAAAGUGCGUAGAGAGGCCACCCGAUAACCGUCAUGUCUUUUGAGCCUUACAGGUACUGGGCACAGCGGAGUACCCAGAGCGCACCUCCCCGCCCGUGUGUGCGCCUCUAUUCCCGGACAUACGGCGUUGCCAAGGGAGACUGAGCCUAUCAAACUCGAGGCGGGUGGCACCGCUCACGGCAGGCGCCGGGAGCUCGGCAACUCGGCCGUGUCAGGCCUCGAGACAGGAGAGGAGUUGCGGGCCCGAGGACUUCAAUCCAUACCCAGGGCGCCCCAGCUCUGUUACUCACCCGAACUCCACCUCCACUGACAAGGGCGCUGCCAUGUUGAGGAAGCCGAGCUCGCAGGAAACUCCCCUGAACUUCCGGAGCUCCCGCCCACUUCCGGUCGCCGCCUGGAGCCACGUCCGGAAAAGGCGGUGCCCAAAGGUCAUCUUCCUCAGCUAUUGGAAGGCGCGGAGGGCGGAGGAGGGAAAGUCACGGGCGUUCCCGGGGAUCAGGAGUCGAUGUGCCUCCGCCUGUUGGCGGCCGGGUUCCAGGACCCGGACUGGGAAUCAACUUGAGGCCGCAGCUAGGCGGAAGACAGCCCCAGCACCUUUUCGGCAGACUGUCCCUGGGAAAUGAAGAGGACAACUCAGCACAGGAGCUCGAGUCUUUCUCAACCCCUUCGAAUCUGGACUGGCCUCGUGACUUGCUCUGACCAACAGAAUGCGGCGAAAGCGAUGUCUUAGUUUUCGGUGGACACAACAUCUUUGUUUGUAUGUGGUGCUGAGGAUCGAACCCGGGCCGCACGCAUGCCAGGCGAGCGCGCUACCACUUGAGCUACAUCCCCAGCCCCCCUAUGUGGCUAUUUAAAGUUAAUUAACAUUAAACACAAUUUGGAAAAAAAAAUUUGGAUUUU